CAGGACUACAGUUCCCAUGAGCCCCCGCGGCCCACCCCUCUCUCCCCGCGGUCUCUGAGGCAGCAUGGCGGCGGAGCGGUGUGCGAGCACGACACCGUGUCAAGAAGGGGUAAAAACACUCCCGUGGCUGGGGAGCUGAUUUACCCACUGGACUGACAGUGCACCUGCACAAUGGAGGAAAUGGUCCUGCAGAAUCCUGAGGCUGCUCUUGCCCAAAGACAGCUUUGGCCAGAGGGCAGCUGCUACAUUGGGCUUCAGGCUGCUCUAGAAGGAAGGUGGUUCUGGACUGAGUGUCACAAGUGACUACUGAUACGUCAUGUGAAAUGGCCACCUGUGUGUAGCCUCAGGUUCCUGCUCAGUGGUUGCUGCAGCCACACCAUGGGACCUGAUCUACACGUGGCUGGAGGAAAAAGUGAUUCCCUGCUUUCUUCUGUUUCAGAAUAAAAUAAGUUGUGGAAAAUCUUC